CAGCCGCCGCGGGAAUACGGAGGGUGCAAGCGUUAAUCGGAAUUACUGGGCGUAAAGCGCACGCAGGCGGUUUGUUAAGUCAGAUGUGAAAUCCCCGAGCUUAACUUGGGAACUGCAUUUGAAACUGGCAAGCUAGAGUCUUGUAGAGGGGGGUAGAAUUCCAGGUGUAGCGGUGAAAUGCGUAGAGAUCUGGAGGAAUACCGGUGGCGAAGGCGGCCCCCUGGACAAAGACUGACGCUCAGGUGCGAAAGCGUGGGGAGCAAACAGGAUUAGAGACCCCUGUAGUCCCUGUCUCUUAUAC
rnacentral:rRNA from 1 species